AGGUACUGCUGCACUGAUGAUGGCAAGUGGAUGUGAAGCUUGAAACUGUAAAUACCUGGCAUCAUUAUCUGACACGUCUGUGACAUUGCAAAUCCAACAGAAACUUACGGAGCAGCCCAAACUUCAUGCUGCCACAUGCAAGACCAUGGAAAGGCAGACUUCAAAAAACAGGAGAAGAGGACUUGAUAAUGGCAAAGAAACUGGCCAAGAUACCCACAGAGGAGGAGGCAGAAGAGGAGCAGGGCAAGAAAGUGAGGAGACAGGUAAACCUGAAGGAAUGCGUGGGGUAGGAAGAGGAGGUAAAUUAGAGUUACUGAGAGAGGCAGACAGAUGUAGAGGAAGAGGUGGCAGGGGGCAGACACAAGGAGGAAGAGGAGGCAGA